UUGUAAUAAUCCAACGUAUUCAGAAUGAUUGCACUGAAACUCCCUCGGUUUGUAAAAUGCAAAUUGAAAAUGUAUAUGAAUUAUUCCUCAAACUGCAAUGAUUCUAAAACAUACUGGAGACUUUUUGUCAUAAACACAAGGACAUUUUCAUGACCUUUUCCCGUGGUUUGGACUUUGUUUCUGUACUUUUAUAGGUGAUAUGAGGCAACAGAUUACAUUUCCUGGAAGAAGAAGAGCAUGUGAGCUCUAAAUUCUUCAGUAAGGAUGUGGAUGAGAGGUGAUGGAUCACCUUUCUGUCUUCACUCCAAAGGAAGGCCGUCUCAUCAGAGAGCUUAUAUAACGUGAAGUCAGUGUCUGAACAAAGCCAGCCUUGUGCUAGUCAGAGACACCAGAUCUGGACUUUUCCACAUUAUAAAGCACAUCCAUCACUCCCUCUCUGGGGUUUCGCUCUGGCAGAAAAUCUCAGGUUGUUUUGUGCUUUGAUACUGAAAGUAAACAGCAUGAAAGGACA